rnacentral:rRNA from 1 species
GAAGGUAUGGGGGCUGCUAUACAUGCAGUCGAGCGACAGACGAGGAGCUUGCUCCUCUGACGUUAGCGGCGGACGGGUGAGUAACACGUGGAUAACCUACCUAUAAGACUGGGAUAACUUCGGGAAACCGGAGCUAAUACCGGAUAAUAUAUUGAACCGCAUGGUUCAAUAGUGAAAGACGGUUUUGCUGUCACUUAUAGAUGGAUCCGCGCCGCAUUAGCUAGUUGGUAAGGUAACGGCUUACCAAGGCAACGAUGCGUAGCCGACCUGAGAGGGUGAUCGGCCACACUGGAACUGAGACACGGUCCAGACUCCUACGGGAGGCAGCAGUAGGGAAUCUUCCGCAAUGGGCGAAAGCCUGACGGAGCAACGCCGCGUGAGUGAUGAAGGUCUUCGGAUCGUAAAACUCUGUUAUUAGGGAAGAACAAAUGUGUAAGUAACUAUGCACGUCUUGACGGUACCUAAUCAGAAAGCCACGGCUAACUACGUGCCAGCAGCCGCGGUAAUACGUAGGUGGCAAGCGUUAUCCGGAAUUAUUGGGCGUAAAGCGCGCGUAGGCGGUUUUUUAAGUCUGAUGUGAAAGCCCACGGCUCAACCGUGGAGGGUCAUUGGAAACUGGAAAACUUGAGUGCAGAAGAGGAAAGUGGAAUUCCAUGUGUAGCGGUGAAAUGCGCAGAGAUAUGGAGGAACACCAGUGGCGAAGGCGACUUUCUGGUCUGUAACUGACGCUGAUGUGCGAAAGCGUGGGGAUCAAACAGGAUUAGAUACCCUGGUAGUCCACGCCGUAAACGAUGAGUGCUAAGUGUUAGGGGGUUUCCGCCCCUUAGUGCUGCAGCUAACGCAUUAAGCACUCCGCCUGGGGAGUACGACCGCAAGGUUGAAACUCAAAGGAAUUGACGGGGACCCGCACAAGCGGUGGAGCAUGUGGGUUUAAUUCGAAGCAACGCGAAGAACCUUACCAAAUCUUGACAUCCUCUGACCCCUCUAGAGAUAGAGUUUUCCCCUUCGGGGGACAGA